rnacentral:rRNA from 1 species
UGAAUACGAGAUGCUACGGCGUCGAAGCAGUCUAUGUCAGACUUCCAAGAAAAGCUUGCACUGUCAAAAACAAAUAAUGCCUGUACCAUAACCGACACAGGUGGGUAGGUAGAGUAUACUAAGGGGCGCGAGAUAACUCUCUCUAAGGAACUCGGCAAAAUGACUCCGUAACUUCGGGAGAAGGAGUGCCUUAUUUUUAAGGUUGCAAUAACAAGAUCCAAGCAACUGUUUACCAAAAACACAGGUCUCCGCGAAGUCGUAAGACGAUGUAUGGGGGCUGACGCCUGCCCAGUGCCAGAAGGUUAAAGAAGUUGGUUAGCAUUCGCGAAGCUGAUAACUGAAGCCCUGGUGAACGGCGGCCGUAACUAUAACGGUCCUAAGGUAGCGAAAUUCCUUGUCGGGUAAGUUCCGACCCGCACGAAAGGCGUAAUGAUUUGGAUACUGUCUCGGAGAGGGGCUCGGUGAAAUAGACUUGUCUGUGAAGAUGCGGACUACCUGCACCUGGACAGAAAGACCCUAUGAAGCUUUACUGUAACUUGAAAUUGAAAUUGGACUUUAUUUGCGCAGUAUAGGUGGGAGGCCUUGAGAAGAAUCUUGGGGGAUUCUUGGAGCCAUCAGUGAGAUACCACUCUUGUAAUGUUAGAUUUCUGACUUUGUAUCAUUCUCUGGUCAAAGAACAGUUUCAGGCGGGCAGUUUGACUGGGGCGGUCGCCUCCCAAACGGUAACGGAGGCGCACAAAGGUUUCCUCUGAACGGGUAGAAAUCGUAUCUAGAGUGUAAAGGCAUAAGGAAGCUUGACUGUGAGACCUACAAGUCGAGCAGGGACGAAAGUCGGUCUUAGUGAUCUGACGGUGCUGAGUGGAAAGGCCGUCACUCAACGGAUAAAAGUUACUCUAGGAUAACAGGCUGAUCUCCCCCAAGAGUUCACAUCGACGGGGAGGUUUGGCACCUCGAUGUCGGCUCAUCGCAUCCUGGGGCGGUAGUACGUCCCAAGGGUUGGGCUGUUCGCCCAUGAAAGCGGUACGCGAGCUGGGUUCAGAACGUCGUGAGACAGUUCGGUCCAUAUCCGGUGUAGGCGUUAGAAUAUUGAGAGGAGCCUUCUCUAGUACGAGAGGACCGAGGAGGACAUACCUCUGGUGUACCAGUUAUCGUGCCAACGGUAAACGCUGGGUAGCUAUGUAUGGAGUGGAUAACCGCUGAAAGCAUCUAAGUGGGAAGCCCACCUCAAGAUAAGUAUUCUCAUC